UACGGGGGGGGGCAAGCGUUGUUCGGAAUUACUGGGCGUAAAGGGUUCGUAGGUGGCCAAUUAAGUCAGACGUGAAAUCCCUCAGCUUAACUGGGGAACUGCGUCUGAGACUGGAUGGCUUGAGUGCAGGAGAGGAACGCGGAAUUCCAGGUGUAGCGGUGAAAUGCGUAGAUAUCCGGAGGAACACCGGUGGCGAAGGCGGCGUUCUGGACUGCAACUGACACUGAGGAACGAAAGCCAGGGGAGCAAACGGG
rnacentral:rRNA from 1 species